rnacentral:rRNA from 1 species
CCUACGGGAGGCAGCAGUGGGGAAUAUUGGGCAAUGGGCGCAAGCCUGACCCAGCAACGCCGCGUGAAGGAAGAAGGCUUUCGGGUUGUAAACUUCUUUUCUCAGGGACGAAGCAAGUGACGGUACCUGAGGAAUAAGCCACGGCUAACUACGUGCCAGCAGCCGCGGUAAUACGUAGGUGGCAAGCGUUAUCCGGAUUUACUGGGUGUAAAGGGCGUGUAGGCGGGAAAGCAAGUCAGAUGUGAAAACCAUGGGCUCAACCUGUGGCCUGCAUUUGAAACUGUUUUGCUUGAGUACUGGAGAGGCAGACGGAAUUCCUAGUGUAGCGGUGAAAUGCGUAGAGAUUAGGAGGAACACCAGUGGCGAAGGUGGUCUGCUGGACAGCAACUGACGCUGAGGCGCGAAAGCGUGGGGAGCAAACAGGAUUAGAUACCCUUGUAGUC